GAGGAUGUGGCUUUGUGGUAGAGUUCUUGCCUUGUAAACACAAUGCCCUGGGUUCAAUUCCCAGCACCCACC
rnacentral:tRNA from 1 species